CUCCUUGAUAAGCAGUUUCACUUCAUUGUUAUCUUUUAAUCUUCGGUCAAAUCUGAAGAUUUUCAGACCUUUCUUUCUUCUUGUAUCCAUGAAGGUUAGGAGAGGGCGAUGAUCUGAGGCUUCAUAUUUUAGAUAUUGGCUUCGGCACGAGGGAAAUAUGUUUAGCCAUUCGCUGUUGCUUAGAGCCCUGUCAAGACGGCACUGAACCAAAUGUGAGCUUCUGUUUCCUCUCCAUGAGAGAAAAUUCCCAUAGUGCUUGAUGUCAAAGAGAUCAUUUUCCGAUAAGAAAGUUCUAAAGGCGCAGAAGGUUGCAAGGAAGACAAUUCAUUCCAGACAGCGAGUCUCUUUGUGUGAUCUGGCUCUCCAUACACAAAGAUGAGAAACAGACCUCCACUCCCUGGGCUGUUAGGGGGAACUUCAUGAUAAUUAUCUAGUGGAAGGCCUUGCAGUUUCUUCUUGACUAUUUCCAGGUUGUUCUUGGUUUCCAUGAGGAAGUAAAUAUCGGGAGAGUUCCUCUUCUGUAUCUCCCUCAACCGCUGGGCUGUUGCAGGGUUCCCCAGCCCGCAACAGUUCCAGCUAAGUACGACUAAGGAGCCCGGGGUGGAGUGACCCGAAAAUCCGCUUUCUUUCGGGUCAUUGCCGGUAUGAGUUGGAUUGGUGGAUUACCAGUUCCUUGGGAGCGAGCUUUUGGGUCGUUUGUCAUUUUCCUCUUCUGAUUUACUCUGGAUGUACCUUCACCUGCACCUCUUCCUCCCUUAGAGUUUCCUCUUGCUCAGCUGGAGUCAUUUGCUCUUGGUGCUCUGGAACUGAUGGAGGAACCUCCUCCCUUCCCACAUUAGUGCUGAUGAUAGUACUGUCACUUGUGGUGGGGUGACUUCACUGUCGUAGAUGUCAAGCUCAUUAUCGUCGUGCUUAUCUUCUCCUUCUGUUGGGCUAAACAAGAGCGACUGAUCCGGGCCGAAAUAAGCGUUCAGGGGGUUAUCCUUCGCUUGGGGGCUUACAGAUCUUAUUCCUCGUUCCCAUGGAGACAGCGGGCGUCUGAUAUUUGUUGUGGCUGCCAAAAUAGAAUCUGCUGUCUCUUCCAUUGAGCCCGAGGCGUCGCCCGUUAGAACUCUCUGUUUCCUGGCUGCAGCUUCCGUAGGGUCUGUGCAACAAAGGUACUGUGAAGAUGAUCUCAUCAUAACAGCCAAUGUUUCUGCUCUCUGGCCCUUAGCAUCACUGCUCAUCACACGUUGUCUUCUAGCCGCCGCUUCUGUUGGGUCAGGGCAGCUAAGGUUCUGACCUCUUAGAGGAUGAGUAGUUGUCAUGUGUAUCUCUUCAUUCCUUUCAGAUGAGAAUGUCGUUGCUACUGGCUUAGCUCUCCAUUCCUUAAGACCUUUCUGAGGAAAAAGAGCUCGCUUAAGUUGUCGUCCUUCAACCUCCUCUCUUCUCACUGUGUACGGAGGAGAGUUGUGUUCUUGGACCUCCACCACCAGAUUGCUAGAUCUGCUUCUCCAGUUCUGUGUUCUGUCUGCCUUAGUAAUCAGAGCUCUGACUGGUGGGGGCACUCUAGUUUGUUUGGUUGCAACUCUCUCUCCGAAGCUGUUGCCAUGUCUGUCGACUCUUUCGUUGAAAGACUUCGUGGUCCCAUCCUUCUUGUGGGGGUCUCUCUCUUGGCUUUCAGAAAGAUUUGUCAGUUCCUUUCCUGUGGUCUGUGUGUCUUUUUUACUGCUGUUGUGAUUGAAGUUUCUACCCAGGCUGUAGAGAUCUUCUUCCGCCUGAAGUUUUAGAGAUUUGUUUCUUUCCAUGCGUUUAGGACAAUCAUCUUUCAGAUGCGAGAGAGACUGGCAGCAGGAGCAGUGAUUCUCCAACCUUUCAUACUCCAGAUGUCUUGGUGAGUUCGUGAUUCAGCAACGUUCCCAACUCCUUCCCAAUGUCACAAAUCAUGUCUUCAUGCCAGUAGUGGAGCGGUAGCCCUUUUAUACGAAUCCAAAAAGGAAUUUGUGACGGGAAGGUAGCAGAUAUGACAGGUUCCCACCGUUGGAGGAUAAUCAUCCAGUAUGCAAAAUGAUAAGGUGCCAUUUGCGAGGCAGUGCUGGGAGGAGAGCCCAAAGCUUUUGUUCCUGGGGGUUGGUGACUCUACCGAUGAGUGUGAGCCUGUUCUCCUUGAUGAGAAUCGAGUUAUCCACGUAGCGAGCUUUGAUUCUCUUGAUGAAGUUCUAUGGAGGUAGGCAGCCUCUUGCUGUUAGCUUGAAAGAGAUUUAAGAGCAGAUUACUACGUAGCAGUGGAGGUAGAUCUACAAAGUUGUGAAGUCUUGAAGUUGAAAUUUGAGAAGAUCUUCUUGGAGGAUGCCACUUCCAGUAAGAAAAUAGGGUUUCCUUAGAAAGGCGAUGCAACGGACCGGUGGAUUCUUCCAAAUUUGGUAACUUCUUGAGUAGUCACAAUCAAGACUUUCGGACGUUAGACAAGUUGCAUUACCCGUCUUGGAGAAUGUGCCUGGGAGAGUCCUUUCUCACCGAAGCCGAAGGUGUGUGAGCUUGUGACUUCAUCAAUUCUUGAAUGGAUAAAAAACACAAAAUAAACCAUUUAUUUUGGCUUGAACGUUUUGGGGACAUCCAAACCGUCUCCGGGGUACAUAAGACAAGUUCUUCAUAGGCCCCAAACAAAUAAAAUGGAUAAAAUUAAUAC